ensembl:rRNA 5S_rRNA 5S ribosomal RNA
GCCAGCAGCCAUAUCACCCUGCGACUCACAACUGGCAGCCCACUGAAGCUAAGCAGGUGUGAGCCUGGUCAGUACCUGGAUGGGAGACCUCCUGGGAAAAACUAAAGGUUGCUGCUGGAA